AUGGGGGGACCAUCCUCCAAGGCUAAAUACUCCUGACUGACCGAUAGUGAACCAGUACCGUGAGGGAAAGGCGAAAAGAACCCCGGCGAGGGGAGUGAAACAGAACCUGAAACCGUGUACGUACAAGCAGUGGGAGCCUACUUGUUAGGUGACUGCGUACCUUUUGUAUAAUGGGUCAGCGACUUAUAUUCUGUAGCAAGGUUAACCGCAUAGGGGAGCCGAAGGGAAACCGAGUCUUAAUUGGGCGUUAAGUUGCAGGGUAUAGACCCGAAACCCGGUGAUCUAGCCAUGGGCAGGUUGAAGGUUGGGUAACACUAACUGGAGGACCGAACCGACUAAUGUUGAAAAAUUAGCGGAUGACUUGUGGCUGGGGGUGAAAGGCCAAUCAAACCGGGAGAUAGCUGGUUCUCCCCGAAAGCUAUUUAGGUAGCGCCUCGUGAACUCAUCUCCGGGGGUAGAGCACUGUUUCGGCUAGGGGGCCAUCCCGGCUUACCAACCCGAUGCAAACUGCGAAUACCGGAGAAUGUUAUCACGGGAGACACACGGCGGGUGCUAACGUCCGUCGUGAAGAGGGAAACAACCCAGACCGCCAGCUAAGGUCCCAAAGUCAUGGUUAAGUGGGAAACGAUGUGGGAAGGCACAGACAGCCAGGAUGUUGGCUUAGAAGCAGCCAUCAUUUAAAGAAAGCGUAAUAGCUCACUGGUCGAGUCGGCCUGCGCGGAAGAUGUAACGGGGCUAAACCAUGCACCGAAGCUGCGGCAGCGAC
rnacentral:rRNA from 1 species